GGACUACUGGGGUUUCUAAUCCUGUUUGAUCCCCACACUUUCGUGCAUCAGCGUCAGUUACAGCCCAGUAAGCUGCCUUCGCUAUCGGUGUUCUUGACGAUAUCUAUGCAUUUCACCGCUACACCGUCAAUUCCGCCUACCUCAUCUGUACUCAAGCCCUGCAGUAUCAAUGCCACCACCCCAGUUAAGCUGGGGGAUUUCAGCACUGACUUACAGGGCCGCCUACGCACCCUUUAAACCCAAUAAAUCCGGACAACGCUUGCCACCUACGUAUUACCGCGGCUGCUGGCAC
rnacentral:rRNA from 1 species